ensembl:lncRNA
CUAUUUUGGUUCUAAGGCAGAAGAGUGGUAAGGGCUGGGCAAUAGGGGUGAAGUGACUUGCUCAGGGUCACACAGCUAGGAAUUGUCUGAGGCCAGAUUUGAACCUAGGACUUCCUACCUCUAGGCCUGGCUCUCAAUCCACUGAGCCACCCAGCUGCUUCCCCCCCCCCCUUUGUUUUUAAUUAAGUUAAUUUGGUACCCUCAUCUGAUUAAAUGUGUUCAAUCUGUAGCAACUUUAAUUAUUCUUUUUUCUUGAAGUCUUGGUUUCCAUAAGUAGAAUCUUUUUCUAUUUCAGUUAUUCUUAUCAGUCUCUGAAUUCCAAAAAAAAAUAAAAAGAAAUCUCCCACAAAAAUCCACCAAAUAUAUCAGCAAGGGGGGUCCACUUAGAAAAAUGCCAAGUUGAAGAGAAAAAAUAGCACGACAAAACAAGAAAUGCAGGAGAUCCCCUGGUCUUCUGCCAGGUCUCAUCAGCUUCCCUGGAAACAUCCCUGGGUGAUUGUAAAGCUCCUAUAAAACAUCCCUCUCCUGAUGUCGUUUAUAAAGCCCCUUGACUGUUCCGUUUUCAUCCAGGGGGAUUUCUUCCAAAGGAAUUCUCCUCUAGUGCAUGUCUGCUUUAUAUUUCUCUCUCCAAAGGAGCCCUCGUCAAGAUGGAUUCUGGUGUCCGCUGAAAUUUGGUGUAACAUCCUAAAUGGCUGAGGCUUUCCCCUCGAGACGCUGGACUACAGCGGUGAAGCCUUGGGUUCUAGGCAGCCCGUGGUAUUGGCGCUUAGGCAGUCCCUCAGAUUCAGCCAGCUCCCAAAGGAUGCUUUGCCUCCAUCAAGUGAGUGCCUUCAAAUAACGUGGUAAAGCGCAAAGCCUCUGGGUGGUCAGCCAAAACGAUCAAGCCUUCAAGGGGAGCCCACUUGUCCUCCCCCACCCUCACCCCCGCCCCCGCCCCAGUUUCCUUUGUUUGGCAGAAAGUACAACAUCCGGCCAAUCCCAGGUAUAGCAGCCACUUUUCCAUCCGGCUCCCGCUGCUCCCCGGCAUCUCCGAAGGUUCCCUUGCGGUCAAUUUCCAAGGUGAAAUUGAAGACGACAUUGACCGGCUCUUCCUACCUUGUCUACUGCUUCCUGAUCCGGGUGCUUUCCGGGUCCCGCCACCUUCCCAGAGCAAGGCUAAUUGGCUCCGGAACCACUAGAGAGCUGAAAUUGAAUUCCCAGUCCAAGAACUCCAGAUCACUUCUAUGAAACCUUUCUACCUUCUACAGUGGGGAUUUUGAGGAAGGGAAGACUGUUUCCAUCUUUGGAGGGAGUCUGACUCAAGGGAGGAUCUGAAGCAAUAGAGAAUGAUCAAAGAGAGGAGUCAACCUGGAAUAAUGGGAAAAGCACCAGUUGGAGAGUCAGGGGACCUGGAUUCAAAUCCUUCCUCUGAGUUGACUUUGGGCUGGCUACUCAUUCUUUCUAGCUAUCAUUUUCCUUGUCUUCAAAAUGAAGGGGCUUGACAAAGUGAUCUCUGAGGUCUCCUCUAGCUUGUUAUGAGCCUAAGGUCUUAGACCCUGGGCCCCUGGGAAUGGGUAGAAGAAACUGG